AUUUUGCAUUCUGAUUUUAGAAAUGUAACAUACGAUACAAUAAUUUUUUUUAUGAAAACGUAUUUGCAGAGCAAAUGUUACCCCUUUUAUGAAAAUCUCGUACUGUACAGAGAAUGAAAAUAUAAACAUUUCUUUUGCAGAAGUCAUUGGUUGGUCUGAAAUUUGACAAACGUGUCAAGAUGUAACAUUCGUGAUGUAACAUUCGUUACCGAGAAAUUAAUUAAAAGGAAUGAUAUCACAAUUUCCCGCGUAUUUUUGCUCUCUGUCUGCAUGAUGUGGUAUACGACAUGAAUGUCUACUAUGAACAUUUGAGUUUGAAAGUCAAUACGUGUUAAACUUUGAGAAUUAGGAUUAAUUUUCUCUUACGAAAUGGCGCUUGUGAGAGCAGAAGUACAGAAUAACUACCAUGAAAAAAAAUGCAUUAAAACAUAAGAACAACCAUGAAAAAAUGUUUUAGAAAUAAUAUUAUAUGCUCCCCUUGUGGCAAUACUGAAAAGGUAGAAUGUCUGUAUAGACAGUGAAAAUAAAGGUUUAACUACCGGUCAAAGGCUACCAUAAUGAUA